GGGGACAUUCGUGGAGGAGGAACCUUGAGGAAGAAGAGGAGCAUGAAGAAGGAUCCUGAGGAGAGAGAAUCCCUGUUCUGAGGGUCCUGGUCAGGAGUUGAAAAUAAGGAAAAGAGAGGAAGAAAAAACACAAAGAAAGAGGCAUCUGAAAAGUAAAAAAAAUACAGAGCUGGAGGUGAACCCAAACACUCAGAGGUAAUUUGCCUUGAGGAGCAAGAACCCUCGAGACCUAUGUGCAGACUUUGGAAAAAAAGAACCUGUGAACAAUAGUAAAGGCUAUGAACGUACCAUCCCUCUGACAGAAAUAAGAGAAUCUUGACCGCAGAAAGCAGACAUGAUGUAUAUUGGAGUGAAAUUAUUCAGCUCAUUGAUACUUCUUCGAGCAGCAGCUUCCUCCUCCUAGACAUCUUAGCUGAGGUUUGCAGAUGACCACAGAUUUUAAUCGCCUUCCCUCCACCUCUGGAAACCUGCUUGGCAAUGGCUAUGCUUGGAUUCUUCAGGAGCUGCACACACAGAAAACAUCUCAAGAUCGCUCCGUAUGUAACAUGUUGUCAAAGCUUUACUUUAUAAAUCUGUUGCCUUUUGAAAAUGAGAAAAUAAACUGUAACAUGAGAAUUGGAGGGGUUAGGAGCAGGUCCUGGUGGUGGCAAAACCCUGUGUUUGCUGUGACAUAUUCCCUUCACUUCUUCCACUUUCCCUCAUUAUCUUGUUUGCUAUGUGUAGCUGAAUAAGCAUGUAACCUCCAAGGCUGUGGAGCAGAUCAUUAGGAGUUACUGAUUAACACAAUGUUUCGAUAGCAGAUCCUGAGUUCUUCUUUUUACAAACUGAAGGGGUCUGGCUUUAUGAUUUUUUAAUUAGAGUGUAAAUAUUGCAGCCUCAUAAACUGUUUGAUUUAUGGAUGACAGCAAAGUUUGCGCUCCGGGAAAGGACAAGGGAGGCUUCAGAUGAACACUUUCAGUGCCCCUGUUUGCCUGUAACAGCCAUCCUGGUAUUUUGUCUUUGGUGAACUCAUCCUAUCAGCCUUACUGAUAACACCUGCGUGUCUAAUCUGGCAGGAUGGCUGAAAUUCCUUUUUAUGUUUCUAAGCAUAAGGAGUACUCACAUUCUGUAUAUUUUAACUGAUAAAGUGGGGGGAAAAAUUGGAGGAAUAUUAAGCUCACAAGGUGAGCUUUGAAAGCUGAUGUUCGUCAUGAGGAUUCCAGAGAAGUGGGGCUAGAUGCAUCACUGUAAAUUUCAGAGGUGUGUGAGAAAUGGCAAAUUGAGGUUGACAAAGAUUUGAGGUCUUGGUGGAUAAUAGAAGGGUAUGUCUGAGAUCCCCUAAUGCAAAAUGUCAUCAGGUUUUUUUGGGAGGAAGACUCCAAAGAGGGAAAGUCCCACCUUUCUCAGGCAAUCAGUAGAACUUGGCUUCCACAUGCAGUGCAAGUUAGGAAGCUCACAAGCAGGGGGAGUGAUUUAAUAAUUUUAACUGGAUUUAUUUACCAAUGGGGCACCUUUAAUCCUCAGUAGAAGCUGUUCCUCAGAAGUUUGGACUCCUCCUGGACACCAGGCUGUUUGGCCAAUAUUUCUGUUCUUGGAGCAGGCAAAGACUUUGCCAACACUGACCUUCUUUCCUCUAGCACACCUCCUUGCUCCGUCUCCAUACCUGAGCUUGCUGUCAGCAUGGUUACGUUUGCAAGGGGAUUAUUCAACCCAAGAUUGCUCUCAAGGGCAGUGAUUUACCAGGAGAGGCCUAAUUCUUUGCACAGGGGGUUUUACAAAUCCUCCUUCACUGGCAUGACUUGCCUCUUUCCAUCUCACAUAUCCUCUUUAAAAUCUUCUUGCCAGCACUGCCAAUAUGAUUUGUCUGUUGAGAUUUUGGGAGGGUGUGUUUUGGGAUGGCUCUUUAUUGUGCUGCAAGGAGCUGUGUUUCUUUGCUGGGCUGUUUUGUGGUCCCUCUAGUCCUUGGAGCAGCCUGCCUGCACCAUUCCAGUGUGCCUGGGCUCUGGGCAGGGGCUGGAAGAACUUGAGGGCGUGGUGGGUUUGCCUCUCUCUGGACAUGUGAGAGCAGCAUAACCUCACCUGCAUUUCAUGGUGACAGAGAUGAAGAAAGUCAAAGCAGACAGUUCUCCUUGAUAUAUACUUGAUUUAGAACAGAGCAUGUCAGUUGGAAAUAUUGGACAGCUCUCUGUCCCCAGAUACAUUGCACAACGUGCAGCGCUGCUAUGGUCAGGACGGACGAGACAGAAUAAAACCUGCGUUACAAGUUCUCCUUUCCACCUCUUAGCAGAGCCUGAGUCCCCACAUUGGUCUUUUCUCUGCUUGAGCACCAGGGACCUCCCCCCCUCCUGUCUCAGACCAAACCCCUGGGAGAGGAGGCAGCCAGCUGCUGCAUGCCAGGAGCCCAGCUUCAGAACUGAGUGCUUUCAGAAAACAUUGGUGCUCUGUUCACAUUCUUUUCUCUGUAGCAAGAAGACUAGAAGCAUAAUUUUCUUUUAAUGAUAUCCAAAAUGUUCGUGGACAGUGAUGAAAUCCAAAAACAUGCCACAGUGUCAGAUUCACCUCUCUCUCUGCUGGAGCUGUGCACGUUUUACUACAGGAAGUAUUUUGUGGCUCUCUACAGUAGCAGCCUGGGUUUCGUUGCCAAAGGCCCAAAUAGUGAAGUUUGGUGGGUUUCUUAUUUUUUCCAGCAAACUUGUUGAAAGGCCUUUCAGUGCAAACUUCAUGUCAAUGGCAAUUACGUAUAUGUUUACAGAUUAUGGCUCCGGUCCCAUCCUGGUAAAUGUUUUUGCACAUUGUUAAAUCCGCAUGUGUAAUUGCCCAGAGAAUAAGAUCAGAAGUGUUGAAUGUAGGAAGAUAAUAACUUGAACUGAACUGUUUUCUUGUUCCUGUUUAAUUUUGAACCUGUUCAACCCUUGUGGGUUCAAAAGUUCACCUCAGUCUUGACCAUUAUUGAGCUUGGAUUCUGUUUAGGAGAAACUGCGACUCCAAGUAAAGCGGAGGGUCAGAAGAAAAUAAAUCCAACAGAAUGCAUAAAGUGAUAAAUGAAGAAGGCAGAAAGACAGAAAAAAAGCACAUACUGGAUGAGUUCUUGGUUUUAUAAUGUCAAAAAGGUGUUUUGCUUCUGACUGCACUGAGGCUGGGAUUUCUGUCGUAACACCUGGUUCAAAAACCCUGGAAUUCCACCAGAAUGUUUCCAUUACCUGUAGUGUUCCUGUGCCGCUUAUAAUGAGCUUUGUUUUGUAGCUCUAAUGCGUGCUUUAGCUCCCAGUAGCCCUUAGCUGGAACAUGCAGCAGCCCAGUCUUUCGGGGCUGGAGGAGAAAGCGAAAUUACAGGAGAGAACGGCUUUUCCUCAUCUUCCUGUUUCCCCACAGAGGCUUCAGAGCCUCAAAUGCAUUUAUCUUUGCAACCC